AUUGAACGCUGGCGGCAUGCCUUACACAUGCAAGUCGAACGGCAGCACGGGAGCAAUCCUGGUGGCGAGUGGCGAACGGGUGAGUAAUAUAUCGGAACGUGCCCAGUCGUGGGGGAUAACGCAGCGAAAGCUGUGCUAAUACCGCAUACGAUCUACGGAUGAAAGCGGGGGAUCGCAAGACCUCGCGCGAUUGGAGCGGCCGAUAUCAGAUUAGCUAGUAGGGGGGGUAAAGGCCCACCAAGGCGACGAUCUGUAGCUGGUCUGAGAGGACGACCAGCCACACUGGAACUGAGACACGGUCCAGACUCCUACGGGAGGCAGCAGUGGGGAAUUUUGGACAAUGGGCGCAAGCCUGAUCCAGCAAUGCCGCGUGCAGGAUGAAGGCCUUCGGGUUGUAAACUGCUUUUGUACGGAACGAAACGGCCCUUUCUAAUACAGGGGGCUAAUGACGGUACCGUAAGAAUAAGCACCGGCUAACUACGUGCCAGCCGCCGCGGUAAGAC
rnacentral:rRNA from 1 species